rfam:Brassica napus, WGS project CCCW01000000 data, contig: 33395
GGAAUAUAAAAACCUGUCUUUUAAUUUUUAAUUUAAAAAACUAAAAAUCGGCUCUUUAAUAAUAUAUUUAAGAACCGGCUUUUAGCUUUUUUAGUUAAAAAUUAAGAGACGAAUUUUUAUAUUCC